AUUGAACGCUGGCGGCAGGCCUAACACAUGCACGUCGAACGAGUGGCGGACGGGUGAGUAAUAUCUGGGAAACUGCCUGAUGGAGGGGGAUAACUACUUGAAACGGUAGCUAAUACCGCAUACCAUCGGAUGUCCCCAGAUGGGAUUAGCUAGUAGGUGGGGUAACGGCUCACCGAGGCGACGAUCCCUAGCUGGUCUGAGAGGAUGACCAGCCACACGGGAACUGAGACACGGUCCAGAGUCCUACGGGAGGCAGCAGUGGGGAAUAUUGCACAAUGGGCGCAAGCCUGAUGCAGCCAUGCCGCGUGGAUGAAGAAGGCCUUCGGGUUGUAAAGUACGUUCAGCGGGGAGGCGUUACCCGCAGAAGAAGCACCGGCUAACGCCGUGCCAGCAGCCGCGGUAAUAC
rnacentral:rRNA from 1 species